UUUCUUACAAUUUUAUUUCUAAAUGUUUAAACAGAUCGGCGUUUUACCAAUAUUCAUAUAUGGAAAUAGGGAAAAGUAAAUACAGCCUGUAAAAGUACAGGAAAUUUUCGUUUUGAUGGGCCCUUAUUCGUGUUGUAAUUCUUGUUAGUUUUUAUAUUACGAUAAAAUGAAAUUGGGACAUGCUGCGCGGUUUUCUUUAAAAUUAGCGAUAAAACGUCGGUGCUGAAAGCGAUCGACGCGCAUCGCACAAUAAAGUAGUGAAAACUAUUUGUAUUGUCCUCUGUUGGUAAUAUGAAUACUUUUUGAUACACUAAAACAAUAUCCAUAUAUGUAUGAAAUAAUCAGCCAGGUAUUCUCUGCUUUAAAAAAAAGAAGUAUAAAAACCAUUAUUGGUAAAUAACAGUUACACCACCUACUUGUAUUGUAACUUCAUAAAACACCUAACGAGAAUGUUACAUCGGUAGAGUGAAUUAAAAAAAAAUACUUCAAAUUCAGAUAUAAACGUUAUGUAAUAUUUAUUCGGUAUAGAAAUAAUUUUUUCUGCCAAACAAAGAAAACAAAAAGACCAGUCUGCAUAUUGUAUUAUAUAAUACUUUUUCCCCCGUGAUCCGGAUCGCGACCGCGGGGUUUUCUGAAAGUGUCCACGGGCAACACACGUGUUUCCGUUUCAACGAAAACAACAACACAACAAACGCUUGUAUUGUAUUUUACAUCUUGAAAAGGACCUGAUGUCAGAUGAAGAAGUCUGAAGAUACCUUGGAUAUCCUGUUGCAGGAUGACCCAAACGAUCAUGCAUUCAGUAUAAACAUGUUAUUGACAUCCCAAUAUUUAGUGGGAAGCUUCCAGGUAUCUUCCACUAGUGACAGUCUACUGGCAAAUCCAGACAUGCAUUGGAAGUAUGUUGAUGUGGAGGACACAGGGACACCUGAUCCAAGAACUGUGGCAUUUCAUUCGGAGUGACAACCUAGCAUGCAGUUGAUAUGGGACCUGAUUAUUCAGAGAAUUGCAGAUUUUAUGAAGCUGUUUUUGACAGAAGAUUUGGUUUUCUCCAUCUGUGUUGCCACCAACCAUUAUGCUGUGAUGGUCAUAUCUAGGGGGAAGGGUUGUCAUAUGCUUCCCAAGGAAGUUCGAAGCCUCUCACUGAAGAGGAACUGUACAUAUUUUUGGGCAUUAUCUUAUACAUGUCUGCUGAGAAGUUCCAGUCGAUACACAGAUAUUGGUCAACGCAUGCCCCUAUCGGAACAACCUAGUAUCAAGAAUUAUGUCUAGAAAUAUGUUUUAAGAGGUUGAAUAUAAGAAGAACAAUUUUUAUUAAAUAUAAUGCAAGUACAUUUAAAUUUAGUGAUUGAAAGUAAGUACUUGAACAUUCGUAUACAUGUACAAUGAACUUGGGGAGGAAAAACGGGCAUUAUUUUCGCAUAGCAUUUGAUAUCAUAAUGGUGUUGUUGCUUAGCAACCAAAUAUAUUUGAAUAUAAAAAAAUUGAUUUUUUUUAGAUUUUAACAGGAAAGAUCUUUGUUUUAAUGUUGCAAUAUUUAUACUAUUUAGUGGGAUACAAUGGCAAAACGUCAUAUUAUUAGAAAAUGAUGAAUAUGUAUAUGAAGUACGAAAUUUUCAUUUUAUGACCUUUGACCUUAAUUCUCUUGAUUAUAUUUUUUGUUAUAAACCUUUUAAAAUGAUUGAGAUCUAGUUAAAGAUUAUAUUUUUAAAAUAAUGUGACAUUUACUAAUCAUCAUGCAAUGUAACUAUGUUUAAAUUGUGUCGAAUGGAUGUAGAAAGGCAAAUUAUGGUCAAAAUUACACCAUGAGUGUUGUUACUUAGCAACCAAAAAUAUUUGUUUGUCAAUAAAAUUGAUUAAUUUGAU